UACAGAGGGGGCAAGCGUUAUUCGGAAUUAUUGGGCGUAAAGGGCGCGUAGGCGGCGAUUCAAGUGACGGGUGAAAUCCCUCGGCUUAACCGAGGAACUGCCUGUCAGACUGGGUUGCUUGAGACCGGGAGAGGCGAGUGGAACUGCGAGUGUAGAGGUGAAAUUCGUAGAUAUUCGCAAGAUCACCAGUGGCGAAGGCGGCUCACUGGCCCGGUACUGACGCUGAGGUGCGAAAGCGUGGGGAGCAAACAGG
rnacentral:rRNA from 1 species